rnacentral:rRNA from 1 species
AACGAACGCUGGCGGCAUGCCUAACACAUGCAAGUCGAACGAGACCUUCGGGUCUAGUGGCUCACGGGUGCGUAACGCGUGGGAACCUGCCCUUAGGUUCGGAAUAACUCCCCGACAGGGGUGCUAAUACCGGAUAAUGUCUUCGGACCAAAGAUUUAUCGCCUUUGGAUGGGCCCGCGUUGGAUUAGCUAGUUGGUAGGGUAAAAGCCUACCAAGGCGACGAUCCAUAGCUGGUCAGAGAGGAUGAUCAGCCACACUGGGACUGAGACACGGCCCAGACUCCUACGGGAGGCAGCAGUGGGGAAUAUUGGACAAUGGGCGAAAGCCUGAGGCAGCAAUGCCGCGUGAGUGAUUAAGGCCUUAGGGUUGUAAAGCUCUUUUACCCGGGAUGAUAAUGACAGUACCGGGAGAAUAAGCUCCGGCUAACUCCGUG